GGAGGGGUGGCCGAGUGGUCUAAGGCGACGGUCUUGAAAACCGUUGGGCCCAAUAGGGUCUCGUGGGUUCGAAUCCCACCCCCUCCG
rnacentral:tRNA from 1 species